CUCUCUUGGUUCCUGGUGAUCCUGGAUGCUGGAUGGUAGACCGAGCAGAGUUUUCCAGAGAACACUGCUGGACUGCACUUCACUUCUCCUGGAUCCUGUAGCCAAUCCCUUUACUCAUUGUUUCAUCGAAGAAAAUGAAGAUGGUCUUCUCCCCUCCUCCAGCUUCUGCUUCUGAAAAAUACCAAGACAAGAUUCCAAGCUGGUCAAGCUGAGGGCACACAUCCAUCCUCAGACCAGAGCCAGAGACGAUGGAGCCAGGACUGUCCAGCUAUGCAUCUUCCUGCCUGGAGCCAAACGUAAUGCCACAGUGUUCGGUUUGAAUCUUCAAAAUGCAGCUCCUGGACUAGGAGCAUCAUCACUCAGCUGGUGAUGUCUUCUGCCAUGACAUGAUGUAGCAAGAAAUACCAUACCAGACACCAAACAAAAGCCAGGUGCCAUGCUCUUGGGCUUCUCAGCUUCCAGAACAGUAAGCUAAUUGUUUUUGUGAAGCACCCAAUAACCGGUGUUUUGUUAUAGCAACAGAAAAUAAACUAAGACACUAACCUUUGUGAAAUCCAGUGAUGAUUGUGACAAGACUGUCUCCUCUUAAGAAAAAAUAAUGUUAAAAAAAAAUAAAUGUGAAGAUGGCGGAGACAAGCAGACGCAGGUAGGCCUGUGGCGGCAGCCCUCGGAGGUGGACGGGCCCCGCGGCGGCCGACGGGGACAUUCAGGCCCGGCAGCAGCUGGCGGAGACAUUCAGGCCCAGCGGUGGCCCACAGAGGUGGACAUACCCUGCGGCGGAGAUAAGCAGACAGAGGUGGACAGGCCCAGCGGUGGAGGCCGACAGAGACAUUUAGGCCUGGCAGGAGCCCACAGAGGUGGACGGGCCACGCGGCGGAGACAGGCGGACGCAGGUCGGUGACCUGCGGAGGUGGACGGGCCCAGUGGCAGCAGCCAACAGGGACAUACAGGCCCAGCGGCAA